AUAAACUUACCCUCUUCUCACUCUGCUGCUUAACUCACCUUGACACUUUGUCAGCUGGGGACUCCCUCUAGGUUAGUUGGUCCUAAGGGCAGAGAAGACUUUACAGGCAUGUUCUGAACAAGGCAGCCCUUAGAAUUUUUAACACUCUAGCAGUUUUAUGAUUCUCCCCCCUCCAAAUUUAUUAUCUUGAGAAGUUGGAAGAAAGCAUAAAAAAGUGAAGUGAUGUCAAGUCCAACCAGAAGCCACAUUUUUCUUCUUGUAUCUGCAGGAGCUUCCAGCGCUUGGUUCAGCUAUGGGAAUACCAUUUGGACAUCUUACAGCAUCCAAUUAUACUUGUAAGGUAGUGGCUUAGUGUAACAUUCUUGCUACAAAGAGUGUGUGAUCAGAAUUAAACAUCUCAGAUUUUUGAUCUGGAAAUGGAAUUAAACCUGCCACCUCUGUUAUCAUUUGACAAGAAUCAACAGCUGAAAAACAACAAUAUUUUGACAAGGGUCUAACAGUUCUCUGAAACUCAGAUCUCGGCUGGUAGAAUCAAAUGGGCCAUAUGUCCUAGAAGUGUAAUAAUUGUGGUCCAUAUCCUCCUGAAAGAAAAAGCCAAACACAGAUUUAAAAUGAUUGUAUUUUUAAAAAACUGUUUAAAAAUGUAAGUAUUAUACAUUUCCUGCAGAAACCAGUAGUUUUAUUUCCUUGCCCCAUAAAUUAAUGUGACUGAAGUAAAAAAAUAGACCAUUUUAUUAUGUGUACACUAAAACAGGAAAGCAAAGCAAAGCACCAACUCAGCUUGUAAUAAAUCUCAUUUUACAAAUGCAAUUUUUGCAUACUAUGAUCUCAAAUAAGCAGU